CUCAUACCAUUGGGCGUGAUAACCACUAUUGUCGCUGCUAAUCUUGUGCCCAACAUCUAGUAUGCGAAUUUCCGAGGUGGUACUAGAAGUGUCAAAUUUCCUUCAACUUAUCCAUAGCAACCUGCUUUCGAAACCAAAAUAUUGAUUCUGUCGUAUCUCUAGCCUUCAUCCGAGCGUGUUAGGUGAAAUAAUGGGUUUUCGCGUGGUUUGUGUGUCCUAGAGAGUUUUGAUUCUUCAUGCAUUGUCGUCUAGGUGUGUGAUUUAUUUUAAAUGAACGGCUAUAAAAAUAUAUUGAUGGGUUGGUGCCUGUUAUCACUGGGUAGGCAUUGAUUGAGUCCUCACCCGGACGCUUUAAUUUGCAUCAUCAUGAGUGUUGGAGCAAAAGUACCAGUAAUAUGACGGAAGGGAAAAUGAAAGGCGCAGCAUCGGUACCGAAUUGAAGUUACACGCAGAGAAUUACCAGCUGUUUAAAACAAUAAUUGUUCUUGUUAUUUUUGAUGAACACUUUUAAUUUGUUGCAACUAAACGAAUUGCGUUGAAGCAGCAAUGAUUUUCAUUGAAACAAAACAGAAAUAUUAUUGAGUUUUCUGACAGCAUUUCAAAUCAUAUUUAUUUUUGAAACAACGACAAAAAUACUUCAUUUUAAAUUGAGGAUUUGUUGUUUCAGUGCGUUUGAUUGUUGAUACUGGUAAAUAAAGAUCUGAUCUGCCAUUUUGUUUUACGAUCUUUUGUAAAAGUGAAAAAGACCAACGCGGAGAAAUUACAAUGCAGUAGUGUAAUAAAUCGACUAACUAUUGAAUUUCGAUACAUCGGAAUUCAUGAUAGAAGUGUUUUUUUGUUAACUCCUACAUGAAACACUGAAACUAUAUCAGCCGAAGGAAAUUGAGCUGAUGAGUCCAUCUCGUCGUUUGCGGUGCGGAACAAUUUCAUUUAAUUAUUGGAUACUAGGAAGCGGCGCAGGUACAUACCUAUGACCAUUUUUAGAUUUGUUCAUCAUUGUGAAUUUUAACUGAUGGAAAUUGAAAUAAAUUAAUUGAUUUUCCACACCACAGUCGAUUGUCUUCAUGUCAAAAGAGCAUAAUAGUAGGAUGGUAGGGGAAGGGGGCUGGCAUCAAUAAACAGGUUUUAUUAUUUCAAAUAAAUGUAUUACAGAAUCAAAAAAGAACAAACUUUGUUUCAAAAAAUAAAAUUUUUAUUUCAAUACAAGAAUAUUGUUGUUUCAAAAAAAUAAAUUUUUAAAUCAAAAAUUAAGUUUAUUGAACCGUAUUGAAUCCAGCUGUCAAAAUCAAAAAUAAAAAUUGUUGAACCAAAAUGAUGGUAGUUAUUAAAAUAAUGAAAAGCAAUUAUAAGCCGGCAAAUAAUACAGAAAUAUUGUUGUAAUGACUCAGAAUAUAUUUGAUAUUAAAAUUGUUUUCUCUGCGUGUAUACAAUUGGUUUGCGUCUACGCGGAAGCUUGCGUCUACGAAUCAGCUAAGCUCUAGGCAAUAUACGAUUUUUUUUUUU